rnacentral:rRNA from 1 species
AUUGAACGCUGGCUGCAGGCCUAACACAUGCAAGUCGAACGAGUGGCGGAUGGGUGAGUAAUUUCUGGGAAACUGCCUGAUUGAGGGGGAUAACUACUGGAAACGGUAGCUACUACCGCAUACCAUCGGAUGUGCCCAGAUGGGAUUAGGUAGUAGGUGGGGUAAAGGCUAACCUAGGCGACGAUCCCUAGCUGGUCUGAGAGGAUGACCAGCCACACUGGAACUGAGACAAGGUACAGACUCCUACGGGAGGCAGCAGUGGGGAAUAUUGCACAAGGGGCGCAAGCCUGAUGCAGCCAUGCCGCGUGUAUGAAGAAGGCCUUCGGGUUGUAAAGUACGUUCAGCGGGGAGGCGUUACCCGCAGAAGAAGCACCGGCUAACUCCGUGCCAGCCGCCGCGGUAAUUC